rnacentral:rRNA from 1 species
CUGGGCGUAAGGAUGCGUAGGCGGAUAUUUAAGUGAGAUGUGAAAUUCCCGGGCUUAACUUGGGAGCUGCAUUUCAAACUGGAUAUCUAGAGUGUGGGAGAGGAGAAUGGAAUUCCUAGUGUAGCGGUGAAAUGCGUAGAGAUUAGGAAGAACACCAGUGGCGAAGGCGAUUCUCUGGACCAUAACUGACGCUGAGGCAUGAAAGCGUGGGUAGCAAACAGGAUUAGAUACCCUGGUAGUCCACGCCGUAAACGAUGAGUACUAGGUGUAGGAGGGUCCAACCUUCUGUGCCGCAGUUAACACAAUAAGUACUCCGCCUGGGAAGUACGAUCGCAAGAUUAAAACUCAAAGGAAUUGACGGGGGCCCGCACAAGCAGCGGAGCAUGUGGUUUAAUUCGAAGCAACGCGAAGAACCUUACCUGGACUUGACAUCCCCUGAAUUACUCGUAAUGGAGGAAGCCCUUCGGGGCAGGGAGACAGGUGGUGCAUGGUUGUCGUCAGCUCGUGUCGUGAGAUGUUAGGUUAAGUCCUGCAACGAGCGCAACCCUUAUCAUUAGUUGCUACCAUUAAGUUGAGCACUCUAGUGAGACUGCCCGGGUUAACCGGGAGGAAGGUGGGGAUGACGUC